UGCAUAUCCAAAAAGCGGAGGAAAAGAAACCAACAGGGAUUGCCUUAGUAACGGCGAGUGAAGCGGCAAAAGCUCAAAUUUGAAAUCUGGCACCUUCGGUGUCCGAGUUGUAAUUUGAAGAAGGUAACUUUGGAGUUGGCUCUUGUCUAUGUUCCUUGGAACAGGACGUCACAGAGGGUGAGAAUCCCGUGCGAUGAGAUGCCCAAUUCUAUGUAAAGUGCUUUCGAAGAGUCGAGUUGUUUGGGAAUGCAGCUCUAAGUGGGUGGUAAAUUCCAUCUAAAGCUAAAUAUUGGCGAGAGACCGAUAGCGAACAAGUACAGUGAUGGAAAGAUGAAAAGAACUUUGAAAAGAGAGUGAAAAAGUACGUGAAAUUGUUGAAAGGGAAGGGCUUGAGAUCAGACUUGGUAUUUUGCGAUCCUUUCCUUCUUGGUUGGGUUCCUCGCAGCUUACUGGGCCAGCAUCGGUUUGGAUGGUAGGAUAAUGACUAAGGAAUGUGGCUCUACUUCGGUGGAGUGUUAUAGCCUUGGUUGAUACUGCCUGUCUAGACCGAGGACUGCGUCUUUGACUAGGAUGCUGGCAUAAUGAUCUUAAGCCACCCGUCUUGA
rnacentral:rRNA from 1 species